GAGGGUAUGGCUCAGUGGUAGAGCACCUGCUUAGCAUGCAUGAGGUCCUUGGUUCAACCCCCAGCACUUCCA
rnacentral:tRNA from 1 species